rnacentral:rRNA from 1 species
GACGAACGCUGGCGGCGUGCUUAACACAUGCAAGUCGAACGGUUGGCACUGGAAGGUUCGCUGGAAGGUGCCGAUAGUGGCGGACGGGUGAGUAACGCGUGAGGACAUGGCUCCAGGAGGGGGAUAACGUUUGGAAACGGACGCUAAGACCCCAUAUGCCGUGAGGUGAAACUGGCGCAAGCCAGCCUGGAGAGUGACUCGCGUCCUAUCAGCUAGUUGGUGGGGUGAAGGCCUACCAAGGCGAUGACGGGUAGCCGACCUGAGAGGGUGGCCGGCCACACUGGAACUGAGAUACGGUCCAGACUCCUACGGGAGGCUG